GCGCUUGGUGCCAAUCUGAACGCCCUCGUCUUAUCUGUGGUGAACUAUCUCCGUGCCUAGCGGCACCUUUCUCCAUAUCUGUGUGUGUGUGUGUGUGUGUGUGUGUGUGUGCGUGCGUGUGCGUGUGCGCGUGUGUGUGUGUGUGUGUGUGUGUGUGUGUGUUUUCUGUUGUCAUGCUACAGUUUUGCCAUCAUGCUGGGCCUCACUGAUAAAUAAGGUGGAUCAUAAGUAGGUUACUGUAAGGCAGGACCUGGUUGGGAUAGACAGGCUGGCAGAGAGACAAAUGAGUGUGGCUCUUCUCCUCGACGUUGUGAUUUAUUUUUAAACAUGGCAGCCACGCUGAAGAUGUAAGAGCAAGUUUGAGGCUGUUAUUUUUAGGUGGUCAUUUUUUAAGGUGCUGUCAUUCGUGUGUGUGUGUGUGUGUGUGUGUGUGUGUGUGUGUGUGUGUGUGUGUGUGUGUGUGUGUGUGUGUGUGCAUGUGUGUGGGUGUGAGUAUGUGCAUGAGUGUGUGCAUGUGUAUAUAUGUAUGUGAGUGUGUGCGUGCAUGCCUGUGUGUAUAAUGAGCUGUGGACAUGAGGUUGACCCUUUUAUAAUUAGGGGGAACACACAGGGACCUGGUGAGAGGUCCCCAGAAACCCGAUCAGGAAACUCUUGCCUUUUUUUUUCAUUUCUUUAGACCAGCGCUGGUUUUUUCUUCUCUCCCCCCCCCUCACACUCUCGGUUUUAGGGUGCAGUGCGGGAGAGACAGAGCACCCUAAGCACCACUGCAGGAGGAAACUCAAAAUGGCAGCCAGGCUGAGGCAGACUGGGGCAACUCGCUGCUAGUGUUUUUUUUCUUUAAUUUGUUUUUUUUUACAUUUCUUUAAAAAAAUAUAUAUAUUUUGAAUAUACAAUUGACCCUGAGGAGGGCAGGUGUUCUCGAGGUAUUUCACUAAGGGAAUAUGUUAUCCUGUGCCCUUGUCAUAUUUUAAGGUGCACAUUUUCUUCCAUUGUCCUCUUCUUUUUAUUUGUGAGGGAAAGGGAAAUUAUGAGAGCGCAGUGAGAGAGGGCUGAUAAAAUGAUGUCGUGAGAGGUGGUGAACCCCUCUAUGUUCUAGCCACAGACCUCAUCUCGUCUUGCUUCUCCAGGGAUUGCUGUGUUCUCCACAUUGCGGCGUUUUGUCAGUGCGAUGCAGAGAGUAGGCUGUUGGAUAGAUCUAUGCAGAGCCUUGGCAAACACAGACUGCGGUGGGCCAGAUCAGGGCCAGAUCUGAGCCGGGUGUGUUUCAGAGUCGGCUGCUGGUCAUGCAUCAUAUCGUUAGGUGGUCUCCUCAUGUCUACAGGCCAGCUAGCUUGUGGCUGUUUAUCAGAACAACAACCUAACAAAACAAAACCUUCUAACAAAACCUUCAGUUGAUGCUGCACUUUUGUGGUAUUAUGAUACCCAAGGUUCAUUAAAUUGGAUUGGAUUACACAUAUAAUCUGCAGACUGCAUACUGCUGUUGGUUAGCUGGUUACAUAUCUCCACUGUGAUAUUUUAAAAUAUUUGAUAAGAUAUCAUGUUUUUUUUUUUUUAAAGAGUAUGCUGACUAAUUAUCUUUUCAAUUUAAUCAUUUGGGAAAAGAAAUGGACAUUGAGGAAUACUGUUGGGACUUAUUUGAUUUAUACAUUAACAAUUUGCCAGGCCCCUAGUUACACACAUGCCUUUUUGAUGUUUUUCCCCCCUUUAAACGUCCCAUUAGGGUGCGGGUUGCCCAAGGUUUAUUAGGUGCUGUGCUUUCUUCGCUAUCAGCCCUUCCCCAGAAGUGAUUAUGCUAAUUGCUGUUUGAUCAGAUGAUUAAAUUUUAAUUCGAUUAAUCCCGUGCACUAAAUGCUUUGAAUACAUUUGCGUCAGCCUGGCGGCAUGGCAUGAUGGAACCCCUGUCCUCUUGCUCAAGGAAGAGGAAUGGCCUGACGCAGGAAGGGGACGGUUUUUCCCUCAGUGACGGUAGAUGUGCAGUGAGAUUGGUGACGGUAGAUGUGCAGUGAGAUUGGUGGUUUUUCCCUCAGUGAUGGUAGAUGUGCAGUGAGAUUGGUGACGGUAGAUGUGCAGUGAGAUUGGUGGUUUGAAGGGGUAGAGGGUUGGUCCCUUGUUUCUUUAAAAAGCAAAAAGAAAAUGGAGUUGUAUAUAGAAUACAUUUUUUUUAUGCGCUUCGGUUUCAGAGGAUUUCAGAACAUUCACAAACACUUACCUGUUAGCUUCACAGAGAACCUUUGGGGGGCCAUUUUAAAAUGUACUUAGAAU
ensembl:lncRNA